GUACUGCUCGAACUCUGAGUCCGAGUCCUCCUCGCUGCAGUAGCCGCUGCUGGUGGAGCUGCCCCAGGUCAUCUCGAAAGAGGGAGUCUUGUCCGAGCUGUUCGCCUCGCUUGCCAUGCCCUCAACUACCGGCCACGUUUCCAGUGUGUGUGAAACAGGAUGUACGGAGCUCUCGGCCCCGCCCGCCGCGCUUCCGUCCUCCCUCGGAGGCCCCACCCAGGCCGUUGGUCUCCAGUUUAGAAAUACACAAAACGCCGGAGAGGGUCCCGAUUGGACGGAAAGGCCGGAGAGCCCACCAUGCGUCCCCCACCCGCAAAUAAUCAAACUGGUUUGGUUUUAACCAGAGGUGGGAAACAGCAGCAAACUUCUGCACAUUUGUAUUCAGCUGGAUCAAAACUUUAAACGGACUCACUGACACACCGCAGGCUCUGCUUGUAAAGGCCCCAGAUGAAGUCGCCGCACAGGUCGCAC